rnacentral:rRNA from 1 species
GAUGAACGCUGGCGGCGUGCCUAAUACAUGCAAGUCGAGCGAACAGACGAGGAGCUUGCUCCUCUGACGUUAGCGGCGGACGGGUGAGUAACACGUGGAUAACCUACCUAUAAGACUGGGAUAACUUCGGGAAACCGGAGCUAACACCGGAUAAUAUAUUGAACCGCAUGGUUCAAUAGUGAAAGACGGCUUUGCUGUCACUUAUAGAUGGAUCCGCGCCGCAUUAGCUAGUUGGUAAGGUAACGGCUUACCAAGGCAACGAUGCGUAGCCGACCUGAGAGGGUGAUCGGCCACACUGGAACUGAGACACGGUCCAGACUCCUACGGGAGGCAGCAGUAGGGAAUCUUCCGCAAUGGGCGAAAGCCUGACGGAGCAACGCCGCGUGAGUGAUGAAGGUCUUCGGAUCGUAAAACUCUGUUAUUAGGGAAGAACAAAUGUGUAAGUAACUAUGCACGUCUUGACGGUACCUAAUCAGAAAGCCCCGGCUAACUACGUG